AUGAACGCUGGCGGCGUGCCUAAUACAUGCAAGUCGAGCGAACGGACGAGAAGCUUGCUUCUCUGAUGAUAGCGGCGGACGGGUGAGUAACACGUGGAUAACCUACCUAUAAGACUGGGAUAACUUCGGGAAACCGGAGCUAAUACCGGAUGAUAUUUUGAACCGCAUGGUUCAAAAGUGAAAGACGGUCUUGCUGUCACUUAUAGAUGGAUCCGCGCUGCAUUAGCUAGUUGGUAAGGUAACGGCUUACCAAGGCAACGAUGCAUAGCCGACCUGAGAGGGUGAUCGGCCACACUGGAACUGAGACACGGUCCAGACUCCUACGGGAGGCAGCAGUAGGGAAUCUUCCGCAAUGGGCGAAAGCCUGACGGAGCAACGCCGCGUGAGUGAUGAAGGUCUUCGGAUCGUAAAACUCUGUUAUUAGGGAAGAACAUAUGUGUAAGUAACUGUGCACAUCUUGACGGUACCUAAUCAGAAAGCCACGGCUAACUACGUG
rnacentral:rRNA from 1 species